rnacentral:rRNA from 1 species
UUGAACGCUGGCGGAAUGCUUUACCCCUGCAAGUCGAGCGGCAGCACGGGGGCAACCCUGGUGGCGAGCGGCGAACGGGUGAGUAAUACAUCGGAACAUGCCCAGUCGUGGGGGAUAACACUUCGAAAGAAGUGCUAAUACCGCAUACGUCCUGAGGGGGAAAGCGGGGGAUCGCAAGACCUCGCGCGAUUGGAGUGGCCGAUGUCAGAUUAGCUAGUUGGUGGGGUAAAGGCCUACCAAGGCAACGAUCUGUAGCUGGUCUGAGAGGAUGAUCAGCCACACUGGGACUGAGACACGGCCCAGACUCCUACGGGAGGCAGCAGUGGGGAAUUUUGGACAAUGGGGGCAACCCUGAUCCAGCCAUUCCGCGUGAGUGAAGAAGGCCUUCGGGUUGUAAAGCUCUUUCGGCAGGAACGAAACGGUGAGCUCUAACAUAGCUUGCUAAUGACGGUACCUGAAGAAGAAGCACCGGCUAACUACGUG